rnacentral:tRNA from 1 species
AGCACGGUAGUGCAGUAGGUAGCACAAUUGCCUUACAGCAAGAAAAUCCCUGGUUCAAGCCCCGGCUGAGUCA